ACUUGAUAGGAUAGGUGUUGACUGGAAGAAAACUGUGAGUCUGACAACAGAUGGAGCAUCUCAAAUGGUUGGUAGAAAGGCUGGCGUGACAGCAAAGUUAAAGGAAAAACUACUCACCCUGAAUUCAGACCAUCAAAUUCACAGUGUUCAUUGCAUAAUUCACAGGGAAGUGCUUUGCAGUAAAAUAUUAAAGAUGGAUCACGUUAUGGAUGUUGUUGUCAAGGCAGUAAACUUUAUACGAGCGCGAGGUCUGAACCACAGACAGUUCAACUGCCUAUUGGAGGAAACUCACUCUCACGGUCUGCCUUAUCACACUGAUGUUCGUUGGUUAAGCCGGGGAAUUGUGCUGAAGCGCUAUUAUGAAUUAAGAAGUGAAAUACAGAGUUUCUUGCAUAACAAAGGAAGAAAUGUCCAGGAACUGAAAGACUAUGAUUGGCUUCAAGAUUUAGCCUUCAUGGUAGAUAUGACAGAACACUUGAAUUUGCUCAAUACAAGACUGCAAGGUCGCAAUAAAUUGGUGACAGACAUGCAUGAGUCCAUUCGUGCUUUUGAGGUGAAGCUCAAACUUUUUGAACGUCAACUAGCAGCGAAUAAUGCUGCACACUUUCCUACACUGAAAUCAUUGCAAAGCAUACCUGAGUUUCGUGGAAUUAUCAGCAGAGAAAAGUACUGCAACAUGAUUUCCAAGUUACUGAACGAAUUUGGAGAAAGAUUUGCAGACUUAAAGAACCUUGAGAGUGAUUUCUCGAUCUUUCGAAAUCCUUUCGCUGCAAAUCCUGAUGAGACACCAGAGGAUAUUCAGUUAGAACUAAUUGAUCUUCAGUGCGAUUCUGCGUUGAAGGAAAAGUUCUCAAGUGUUGAUAUUGGUACAUUCUAUCAAUAUGUUGGGCCAAGAUAUCCUCGAAUCAAAUGUUUGGCAUCAAAGAUUAUGUCAAUGUUCGGCAGUACCUAUGUCUGUGAGCAACUCUUCUCACUGAUGAACUUGAACAAGUCUGGACUCAGGUCUCGGCUCACUAAUGAACACCUCAACUCAACACUGAAAGUAGCCAUUGCUCAGUCUCUGGCGCCAAACAUAGACGAACUUGUACAGACCAAGAGGUGCCAAGUUUCUGGGAGCAGCACGACCAGGAAUUAAGAUCCGUGUCGUGGCAUCAUGAGGGAAAGCAGCUUGUGUGCUGUCAUCGGGACGGGGCGCUCACAACUUGGAAUCUCACACAAACCUCUCCCACACCCACCUCUAAUAUCUUCCACCACGAUUUGCAUCAACAACCACCACCACCACCACCACCACCACCACUACCACCAGCAUGGCAGUAGUAGCAGGAGUAGUGAAUGGUCACACGUAUGUGGUGACUUCUUGGACUAUCAGGCUGCCCUUGUAGUGUGUUGGACUAUCGGUGAACAAGGAGACCUGAAUGUUACGUGGUACAACUAUUUCGGUGAUAGAAGUGGCUGAGUUGCCGAUCCAAAGGCCUGGCUUAAGAGUGAUCCCGAGCUACCUGUACCAUCAAGAUCAAGAUCGAGCGUCCAUAUCAGAUGGUGAGUCUGCGUACAAAAUUGCAUCGGAGGGAUUGAUAGAGGCAGCCACAAUUAUCCAUCAUCAUCGGCGACACCAUGGCUCUUGAGAAGACAGACAGACCUCGAUGACAGCGUGGUGAGCGAGGAGGGGGAGUCAACCAGCAGAGUAGGGGAGCAUGACCCCUACUUUGAACCAGUGGUGACCUUGCUGGAGGUCUUCGUGGUUAGUGAUGAUGACCAGGAGGAGGAAAUGAUAAGACUGAGUUUCGAGGUCAGGUCAGGCAGUACAAGCUGUUUCAUUAUCACACCUCUGAGUCGCCCCCACAGUGGAAGGAACGGGGCAUGGGGGCCAUUAACAUUCUGAGGAACAAGUAGAAGAAGGCUGUGGAGUUUGUUCAGCAGCAGAAUUAAUGCCAGUGGUUGAGUUCAGAUCCUCCAAGACACACACCACACACACACAGCAGCCCCUCCACCUCCCCACAGCCCUCCACAGCCCCUGACACAGCAUCUGACACAGCCCCUUCACAGAACACCACAUACCUCACACAUACAUAAGAACAUAAGAACAUAAGAAAUAAGGGAAGCUGCAAGAAGCGACCAGGCUUACACGUGGCAGUCCCUGUAUGAAAUAUACCUACCUAUUUCCAUCUGUUAUCCCCAUCCAUAAACUUGUCUAAUCUUCUCUUAAAGCUCUCUAGGUGUCCUAGCACUAACAACAUGAUUACUGAGUCCGUUCCACUCAUCUACCACUCUUUGUUGAGAACAAUUUUUUUCCUAUCUCCAUCCUAAACCCAAAUUUUUCAAGCUUGUACCCAUUAUUUCUUGUUCUACCCUGGUUGCUGAUCCUAAGAAUUUUGCCUACAUCCCCCUUGUUAUAACCCUUAUACCACUCAAAGACUUCUAUCAGGUCCUCUCUUAACCAACGUAUCUCUAAAGAAUGUAAAUUUAACAGCUUCAACCUCGCCUCGUAAGGAAUACUCCUCAUCCCCUGUAUCCUUUUAGUCAUUCUCCUCUGUAGUGAUUUUAAUAGACCUAUAUCUUUCCUGUAAUGUGGGGACCAGAACUGCACAGCGUAGUCUAGAUGAGGUCUGACCAGCGCCAAGUAUAACUUUAAUAUUACUUCCGGCCUUCUACUUUUAACACUCCUAAAAAUCACACACACCACAGGAGCCUCACAAACAGUCUCACAGCCUUCACAAGCAGCCCCACACUCCACCACAGACACACCAGACCCACAGCCCUUCACCUCACCCACUUCCCAGCCCCCCACAGCCCCCCGGCCACCACAGAUGAAGUCAAAGGGAGGGACUGUGGCUUCACCCAGCCAGCCAGGACAGCCUACAGAGAGGGGUUAGUCCCAGUCAAGUCACAAAAUAUAGGCUUGGUUCUUCCUACAGUUUGAAGUCAAUGAUUGGACAGGCCAGACAGCUUAGUGGCAGAGCUGCAGGUGGUCCUCGUCAGCUUCCUGGUGGCACAGGUGUAGGAUGGCUGGGAGCAGUGGAGGUGCCUGAUGGGGCAGGUGUGCCGGGCAGAGGGGCUGCUACUGCUGCUGCUGCUGCUGCUGCUACUGCUGGUGGGGAGAGCCACACUUGUAUGACCCAUGGUUACUGACCUCGACUCAAACACCAUCGUGGCACUCUCUUCCCUGUUAAACUUGCCGGGAUCCAUUGUAAUGUAAGGGGUAUUGAAUGUGAGCGAUGAAACAAGAAGGUAGUGGCAAGGGGGAAAUGUACAGGGGAGCGCAGGAGAGACGCCUCUCUCCACUGUGCCUGACAGUCUCUCAGUGAUUGAAAGACUGAGCAUAACAUCUUCAGGGCACGUGGUAACACGGAGAGGAAGUGGAAGAAAGCUUGGAACGCUCCCAUAACUCAGGAGCAAGAGGUACACCAUACUGGAACCUUGUGACUGACAGGUGGCUGUGACUGCAGGAACCAAUUCAUAUCUCACUUGUGUUGGCUAACAUUCUGUCUGCAAUCAGUCCGGUAGUGCCAUGUUGCAGGCUCUGACGUCAGGAAGAGCCAAAUGGUGGGUGUGUCUACAGCCAGUACUGGGUGUGCUGCUGCUGUACAAGUGCCCCAAGCCAGCUGACUCCACCAGUGUAUUAUCUAGUCCAGGUUGCAUUGCUGUGUGUAUGACUUGUAUGUCUUUGCCAAUAAAUAAAUUUGUGACUACUAUUAUAUAUGUGAAAUAAAUAUAUAGUUUGCUAACAACAAUGUGCUGGUAUAGUGUAAAAUAAAUAUUUGGUGGUAACAAUUCAUGCCCUCAAGGUAAUAAAAAAAAAGUGCCAGGAUUGGCCCAAGGCCCAAAAAUAAAGUUUAAGGUAUGAUUUGCACAGAAGCCCCAUCCCAACGACACCAGUUGCUGGGACAGGGCUUCUAUGCGUUUUUUUUUCAGGGCAUGACCUGUACUCUGCCUGAAACUUUAUUUACACAAGAUGGAAUACUGAAUGUUUAUUGUUUUACUGUGAAUGUUAAGUGAAUAAAUACACAACAGGAUAAUAAACAUG